AACUGCUCGUAAAUUGAAUACUUUUGCUCUUCAGACUUGCUGAGAUUAUCUCUGAAGCUGGUCUAGUAAGCUCAAG